GACGAGUCUCACGAACGUUAUUCGGAAUUACUGGGCUUAAAGGGUGCGCAGGCGGCCGUGUGUGUCAGGUGUGAAAGCCCGGGGCUUAACCCCGGAAUUGCGCCUGAAACUACAUGGCUAGAGCAUUGGAGAGGGUAGCGGAAUUCACGGUGUAGCAGUGAAAUGCGCAGAUAUCGUGAGGAACACCAGAGGCGAAGGCGGCUACCUGGACAAUUGCUGACGCUCAGGCACGAAAGCGUGGGGAGCAAAAGGG
rnacentral:rRNA from 1 species